rnacentral:rRNA from 1 species
UACGUAGGUGACCAGCGUUGUCCGGAUUUACUGGGCGUAAAGAGCGCGCAGGCGGUCGUUCAAGUCGAGUGUGAAAGCCCCCGGCUCAACUGGGGAGGGUCACUCGAUACUGAUCGACUUGAAGGCAGGAGAGGGAAGCGGAAUUCCGGGUGUAGCGGUGAAAUGCGUAGAUAUCCGGAGGAACACCGGUGGCGAAGGCGGCUUCCUGGACCGACACUGACGCUGAGGCGCGAAAGCUAGGGGAGCAAACGGG